ensembl:lncRNA
UGAUGUCAAGGGAAUGCUCAUUUUGUACAUGCCACGUGAGGCAGGCCGCGGCUUCCUCACCCCUAAGGGCUUGCAACACUUCCAUGCAAGUUUACACUUUCCCCUGUGCCAGCGCUGGAGAUGACACCAGCUUGGAACAGACGCUCCCUGCACCCAUCCUGAGCAGCUGAGCUUUGUGACUCAAAACAGAAGUGAAGUGCAGAUGAAGAAACCAGGACAGCAUCAGCUCUCUCUUGGAAAACAAUCUGCUUUCCUGCUCUGGUAGUUCAGAGCUUUGGAUGUAGUUUCUCAUAUUUAUUUCAGGCCUGUGUUUUCCGGAAGGUCUAGUAAAUAGGAGCAGAUGAUACUUCAUCUGAAACGAGCAAGAGCCUUCAGCCUCUGGCUCACAUUACCCCAAACUGGGGCACGGAUCACAUACUCCCCUGUGUAUGUAAAAUACCACUUGAAAAUACCUUGACUGGGGUCUUUGGUGUUACCAGAAACAAAGUGGAACAAAGUAAGAGAUCUGUGAAUAGCCACACAUGGAUUGUUGAAGAUAGCUCUAGAGGGGAAGAACAGAAAAGGUACUCCAACUGGAAAUAAAGUAGGUUGUUCCACUUCAACUAGGAGUCGGUCCAAAGGAACACAAUGCAUAAAAUGAGAUUGAGAGGAUGCAUCUUAACUAUCCUUUCUCACAUUACAAAUCAAAAGUCACUGCAACACCUAUGGCAAAGCUCAACAGAGGAAGGUCACCAGGCAGCAGGAUUUGACCCUGUUGAGGGUCAGUGACCAGGGGACACGCCAACCUGCAGCUACCCAAAAGCAAAACAGCCCUUAGCCACAGCAGGCAGAAGGGCUGGCACUGACAUGCACCAUGGCCACUCACAGCAGCCUCGCACUGAGACAUGGGAGAACCUGCAAGCUUUGCAUGAGCACAGCAGCCAUUUCUCAUCGCAGCUGCUACCCCAAACUGUGCACAAGGACCAAGUCAGUGCUCAUUAUAUAUCCCUCCUGAAACCCCUCAGAGAGCAAAUCACACCCAGAGUUCAGAAAAGCCCAAGCUAUCAUCCUCCAUCCAAGCACAUCAGUGUAAGCAUACCCUGUGGCUUUCCCAGAAGGCUGAUUACUUCUCAUAGCAGCCUAGGCACUUUGCAGGCUACUUUUUCACCUUCUGCUUUUGUUUUCAUAGCCCUGAGAAGGCAACAGUGAUUCCCAGUGCACAGCCCUCGGGUAGGAGACCCCCUUGUGCCAGAAAGCCCUGGCUGCAGACCUGCACACCCCUCAAUUCCUGCUCCCUGACCCCACAGGAGCACAGAGGCAGGCACACAGCCAAGGCCGCCACCACCUGCUGCCAAAAAAUACCCACCUUCCUCUGGAAUGUUUUGCAGACAGCGCUGAGAGCUUCAUUGGUUUCAGCAACCAAACCAUCAAGGGUUUGCAGAACACUUCAAGACCUCUUACAGCAAACAAAAUGCUGAAACUCUUCCCUUCAUCACCCUUCUAGGGAAAUACGUUGCAAAGAGCAAAUUAAGUUUACAGGAGAGGGAAACUAACCAGUUCCUUCCAAGAAUUUCUGAAAAAGCAUCUUGAACUUGUCUGAACACCCAAAGCCACCAGUUAUGAUCAUCCAAGGAAGAUCUCUGUGAAAGGAGGAAGGAUGCAAAAGUACAGGAGGACAGAAUUGUUAUCUUACAGUGCUCACUGAGCCCAGUUAGCCUUAAUUCCUUACAAUCCAGGAAGACUGUAUUGGAAGACAAUAUUAUUUAAUAGAUUACUUGUGAUGAAGUUCUGUAUCACGUGUUUUAGUAAAGGCCGUUACUUCCCCACGCAAACCUGACCUUGCUUAUCAUCAGCUUUACUAGUAAGCUGAAAUAAAGAUGUUGUCAUAUCGUGUGUUGGUUGAGCCAGACCAGACAGUCCUAAUGAAUUGGAUCUUCUGAUUUGCGCUAACAAAGACCUGAAGGUCACAGAUUAAAAACAUAUUGAUAG